AGACCUCAGGUCAGGCGGGGCUACCCAUUGAGUUUAAGUAUAUCAAUAAACAGAGGAAAAGAAACUAACAAGGACUCCCUUAGUAACAGCAAGCGAACUGGGAAGAGCCCACCAUGAAAAUCAAUCAUCUUUGACAUCCAAAUUAUAGUCUGGAGAAGCAUCCUCAGUGGCGGAUCGGACCCAAGUCCCCUGGAAGGGGGUGCCAGAGAGGGUGAGAGCCCCAUCGUGUCCGGACCCUGUCGCACCACGAGGCGCUAUUGGCGAGUCGGGUUAUUUGGGAAUGUAUCCUCAAUCAGGCGGUAAAUUCCGUCCAAGGCUAAAUACUGGCGAGAGACCGAGAGCAAACAAGUACCACGAUGGAAAGAUGAAAAGGACUUUGAAAAGAGAGUCAAAGAGUGCUUGAAAUUUUUGGGAGGGAAGUGGAUGGGGGUCGGCGGUAUGUCUCGGUUUGAUGUGGAACGGUGUUAGCUAGUCUGCCGAUCGACUCGGGGCAUUGACCGAUGUGGAUUGUGAUGGUGGCCGAAGCUCGGGUUGUUGAAAUGUUCAUGGAGACUUCAUCGUCACGAUUGUGGAUGGCAGCAUGCGUCUUUGUGGCGUGCUUCGGCACUUUCAUGCUCCGGGUAUCGGCUUUUGGGCUCCCCAUUCGGCCCGUCUUGAAACAUGGACCAAGGAGUCUGACAUGUGUGUGAGUCAAUGUGUGAGUAAACAUGUAUGGUGCAAGGAAGCUGAUUGGCAGGAUCCCCUUGUGGGUUGCACCAUCGACUGACCCUGAUCUUCUGCGAAGGGUUCGAGUGAGAGCAUACCUGUCGGGACCCAAAAGAUGGUGAACUAUGCCUGAGCGGGGCAAAGCCAGAGGAAACUCUGGUGGAGGCUCGCAGCGAUACUAAAAUGCAAAUCAUUCGACUGACUUGGGUAUAAGGGCAAAAGACUAAUCGAAUCUUCUAGUAGCUGGUUCCCUAUGAAGUUUCCCUUAGGAUAGCUGGAGCCUACGGGCGAGUUCUAUCGAGUAAAGCCAAUGAUUAGAGGCAUCGGGGGCGCAACGCCCUCGACCUAUUCUCAAACUUUAAAUAGGUAGGACGGUGUGGCUGCUUUGUUGAGCCACUCCAUGGAAUCGAGAGCUCCAAGUGGGCCAUUUUUGGUAAGCAGAACUGGCGAUGCGGGAUGAACCGGAAGCUGGGUUACGGUGCCCAACUGUGCACUAACCUAGACUCCACAAAGGGUUUUGGUCGAUUAAGACAGCAGGACGGUGGUCAUGGAAGUCGAAAUCCACUAAGCAGUGUGUAACAACUCACUUGCCGAAUCAACUAGCCCCGAAAAUGGAUGGCGCUAAAGCGCGCGACCUAUACCCGGCGUUCGAGGCAAGAGCCAAGCCUCGAUGAGUAGGAAGGCGCCGCGAUCAUUGUAAAACCCGGGGCCGAAGAGGGGAAAGGUUCCAUGAGAACGACACUUGCACAUGGGUUAGUCGAUCCUAAGGGACGGGGGAAGCCCAUUUGAUAGCGCUCUAAGCGCGUACUUUGAAAAGGAAUCGGGUUAAAAUUCCUUAAUCGGGACGUGGCGGCUGACGACAACGUUAGGGAGUCUAGAGACGUUGACGGGGGCCCCGAAAAGAGUUAUCUUUUUUGUUUAACAGCCUACCCACCCUGGAAACGGCUCAGCCAGAGGUAGGGUCUAGCAGCUGGAAGAGCACCACACGUUACAUGGUGUCCGGUGCACCCCCGGUGACCCCUUAAAAUCUGAAGGGCCGAGUGCCUCCCAUACUCGGUCGUACUUAUAACCGCAUCAGGUCUCCAAGGUGAAUAGCCUCUGGUUGAUGGAACAAUGUAAGCAAGGGAAGUCAGCAAAAUGGAUCCGUAACCUCGGGAAAAGGAUUGGCUUGAGGGGUGGGCACGAGGGUCCCAGUCCUGAACUCGUUAGUUGUCGAUGGACUGCUCGAGCUGCUUUUGCGACGAGAGCGGGUCGUCGCGUCUCGAUCAGGGGACGGAUUAGGAACGGGCCUUUCUGGGCCUCUUCCCCGGGCGUCGAACAGUCGAAUAAAAAUUGGUACGGACAAGGGGAAUCCAACUAUUUAAUUAAAACAAAGCAUUGCGAUGCUCCUUGCGGAUGUUGACGCAAUGUGAUUUCUUCCUAGUUCUUUGAAUGUCAAAGUGAAGAAAUUCAACCAAGCGCGGGUAAAUGUCAGGAGUAACUAUGACUCUCUUAAGGUAGCCAAAUGCCUCGUCAUCGAAUUAGUCACACGCAUGAAUGGAUUAAGGAGAUUCUCACUGUCCCUGUUUACUAUCCAGCGAAACCACAGCCAAGGGAACGGGUUUGGCAGAAUAAGCGGGGAAAGAAGACCCUGUUGAGCUUGAAUCUAGUCCGACUUUGUGAAAUGACUUGAAAGGUGUAGGAUAAGUGGGAGCUGUAAACAAAGAAAGUGAAAUACCACUACUUUUAACGUUAUUUUACUUAUUUCAUGAAUCGGAAGCGGGGCAUUGCCCCUUUUUUUGGACCCAAGGCUGGCUUCGAUUGGUCGAUCUGAGCGGAAGACAUUGUCAGUGAGGAAUUUGGUUGGGGCGACACAUCUGUUAAAAGAUAACUCAGGUGUCCUAAGAUGAGCUCAACGAGAAGAGAAAUCUCGUGUGGAACAAAAGGGUAAAAGCUCGUUUGAUUAUGAUUUCCAAUAUCAAUAUGAACCGUGAAAGUGUGGCCUAUCGAUCCUUUAGUCCUUCGAAAUUUGAAGCUAGAGGUGUCAGAAAAGUUACCACAGGUAUAACUGGCUUGUCGCAGCCAAGUGUUCAUAGCGAAGUUGCUUUUUGAUCCUUUGAUGUCAGCUCUUCCUAUCAUUGUGUUGCAUUUUUGGUAUUACUAGCCAUAAAUCACACUAAAGUAGAGCACCCAACUAUGGCAAGGCCCCUUAAGUAAGGGUUAGGUUAGUCAAUCCGGCCUGAGACGCGUUCGUUGAAAAAACCGCCGUAGGAAUCGAGACCUUUCAAUAGAGAGAAGGCGAACUGAUCAACCAGAAAGAGGCCCUACUCACUACAAACGAAUACACCACAACAUCGACCCUCUACGUAGUUCUUCUAUCAAUUAUGUACGUAGGUAGGGUCCUCCGUUCUUAUUGGUAUAUCAUGAAAAAAUCCAUUUGCACCAGGUGCACUACGCUUUCCCUUGCCUAGAUGUUCGCCUUUCUAAGUCAAGUAAUGGUGACCCGCCGAAGACUAGAGCCUCAAAACAUGUUGACGAAGACCUCUGAACGGAGGGUCCGGUCAGUAAAGGGGACGACUUUCCCUCCCUGUAGACCCCUAAAAUUGUCCGGGUCGGAAA
rfam:Cajanus cajan Scaffold130855_1, whole genome shotgun sequence.